rnacentral:rRNA from 1 species
CCUACGGGAGGCAGCAGUGAGGAAUAUUGGUCAAUGGACGAGAGUCUGAACCAGCCAAGUAGCGUGAAGGAUGACUGCCCUAUGGGUUGUAAACUUCUUUUAUAUGGGAAUAAAAUGUUCCACGUGUGGGAUUUUGUAUGUACCAUAUGAAUAAGGAUCGGCUAACUCCGUGCCAGCAGCCGCGGUAAUACGGAGGAUCCGAGCGUUAUCCGGAUUUAUUGGGUUUAAAGGGAGCGUAGGUGGAUUGUUAAAUCAGUUGUGAAAGUUUGCUGCUCAACCGUAAAAUUGCAGUUGAAACUGGCAGGCUUGAGGACAGUAGAGGUGGGCGGAAUUCGUGGUGUAGCGGUGAAAUGCUUAGAUAUCACGAAGAACUCCGAUUGCGAAGGCAGCUCACUGGACUGCAACUGACACUGAGGCUCGAAAGUGUGGGUAUCAAACAGGAUUAGAUACCCCAGUAGUC